GAUGAAGAACGUUGCGAAAUGCGAUACGUAAUGUGAAUUGCAAAUUCAGUGAAUCAUCGAGUCUUUGAACGCACAUUGCGCCCCCUGGUAUUCCGGGGGGCAUGCCUGUCCGAGCGUCAUUGCUGCCCUCAAGCACGGCUUGUGUGUUGGGCCCCGUCCUCCGAUCCCGGGGGACGGGCCCGAAAGGCAGCGGCGGCACCGCGUCCGGUCCUCGAGCGUAUGGGGCUUUGUCACCCGCUCUGUAGGCCCGGCCGGCGCUUGCCGAUCAACCCAAAUUUUUAUCCAGGUUGACCUCGGAUCAGGUAGGGAUACCCGCUGAACUUAAGCAUAUCAAUAAGCGGAGGA
rnacentral:misc_RNA from 1 species